rnacentral:rRNA from 1 species
GAUGAACGCUGGCGGCGUGCCUAAUACAUGCAAGUCGAGCGAACUGAUUAGAAGCUUGCUUCUAUGACGUUAGCGGCGGACGGGUGAGUAACACGUGGGCAACCUGCCUGUAAGACUGGGAUAACUUCGGGAAACCGAAGCUAAUACCGGAUAGGAUCUUCUCCUUCAUGGGAGGUGAUUGAAAGAUGGUUUCGGCUAUCACUUACAGAUGGGCGCGCGGUGCAUUAGCUAGUUGGUCGGGUAACGGCUCAACAAGGCCACGAUGCAUAGCCGACCUGAGAGGGUGAUCCGCAACACGGGGACGGAGACACGGCCCAGAGUCCAACGGGGCGCAGCAGUAGGGAAUCUGCCCCAAUGGACGAAAGUCUGACAGCGCCACGCCGCGUGAGUGAAGAAGCCAUUCGGGUCGUAAAACUCUGUUGUUAGAGAAGAAUAAGUACAAGAGUAACUGCUUGUACCUUGACGGUACCUAACCAGAAAGCCACGGCUAACUACGUGCCCGCCGCCGCAGUAAGAC